AAAAAUUAGCCAAGCACAGUGGCAUGUGUCUGUAGUACCAGCUACUUGGGAGGCUGAGUGAAGAGGGAGGAUUGCUUGAGGCCAGGAGUUGGAGACCAGACUGGGCAACAUAGCGAGACCUCAGCUUGGAAGUAAGGAAGGAAAGAAGGGAGGGAAGGAGGGAUGAAGGUAGAAAGAAACGGGACAAGAUGGACUCCUGAGGCCAUCCUAAUUCUGGAACACAAUACAAUGGCCUCUGUAUGUUAGGAGGGCUCAUUUGGCUUCUCUCUAAGCCAGCAGUCCACAUCUUUUUGGCACCAAGGACCAGUUUUGUAGAAGACAAUUUUCCACGGAUGGGGGCGGGGGGUGGGGGUGGGAGGGGAUGGUUUCGGGAUGAAACUGUUCCACCUCAGAUCAUCAGACGUUAGAUUCUCGUAAGAGGUGCCCAACCUACAUCCCUUGCACGUGCAGUCCACAAUAGGGUUUGUGCUUCUAUGGGAAUAUAAUGCCACACUGAUCUGACAGGAGUCAGGGCUCAGGUAGUAAUGCUCACUCACCUGCCGCACACCUCCUGCUGUGCGGCCGGUUCCCAAUAGGCCAUGGAAUGCUUAUUGGUCCACAGCCCUGGAGUUGGGCACCCCUCUUCUAAGGCAGAAGCUUCUACUGUCUUAGGAGCAGCGUCCUGGCCUCCACAGCAGGGAGAGAGCAGGAAUACCCAGCCACAGAUACUGGUCAAGAUAUUGAUCAACUUCCUACCAUCAUGGUGGAGGCAAGCCUGGAGGCCUCUGGGUGGUCAUCAGGUCACCCCAGCACAUUUUCCUGCCCCGGACUCCUGGCCACGCUGAGGUUGCUGUGAGCAGACACGAUGUGCAGGGUCAUGGAUGUGCAGCUCAAACUCCUUGACAAGCGGGAGAUUUAUUUUAUGGCCCAAGCAGUUUGGAGACAAAAUCGUAAGGUGCUCACCCAUCCAGUGUCUCUUCAGCCGGCACUGGGAGGUGUCAAACUGACCACAUUCGACUGCCCCUUCCGCCCGCAGAAUAUGGGUCUGCGUUUCUCUUUCCCUCUUGGUGGCCAAGAACUGUCAACAUCCAGCUGUGGCUCUGCACUCAGCCGCCGCUCAGCCUGCUCAGGUUGAAAGGUCAAACGUUGUCUGGAAUUGGCAGCCCAGCUUACUAGCAGCUCUUCUGUCUUCAGAGUGCAGUGAGGGGAGCUGUCAGAGGGCUGAGGCAAGGACCAGAGAGGGAACUCCUGCGACAGAGAAAGCUCAGCCCUGGUUAUGUUCUGGAGGGAGCAUAGCAGGGUCUGUCCCAGGAACUUUAUUAGUUAGCGGUUAAGAUCCUCAUCCACAGAAAAGCCGGUAGGAAUUAGCCAGGUGGUGUGUGCCUAUGGUCCCAGCUACCCAGGAGGGUGAGGAGGGAGGACUGCUUGAGCCCAGGAGGUUGAGGCUGCGGCUAGCUAUGAUUGUGUCACUGCGCUCCAGCCUGGGUGACAAAGCAAGAUCCUGACUCAAAAAAAAAAAAAAAAAAAAAAGGAAGAAAGAAGAAAGAGAGAGAAGAAAGAAAGGAGAGAAAGAGAAGGAAGGAAGGAGAAAGGAAAGAAGGAAGGAAGAAAAGGAAGAAAGAAUGACAAAGAAAAGAAAGAAAGACGAAAAGGAAAGGAAAAGAAAAGAAAAAAGAAACAAAAGCAGGAAAGUGAGGGGAGAGGGCCAGGAAGACAGAAGACAGGAUGGGCAAGAAGGGUGGGAAGGAUUCCCACACCAGAUUCAGGAGUGGCUCUGCAUUGGGAAAUCCAUCUACGACUGCUGGGGACUUGGUUUUGCAAACAUGCACAGAGAAACCUUCAUCCACCUCUGUGCAAUGUUGGACUGAAGUAGAAAUGAGCCGCUGUUUUCUGGAAGCACCCCAUUUCUUUGAGCUGAUCUUCUCUAAUAAUGAAUUCUGGUGAAGCCUGCCAUUCACAGCACCCUGCCCUCCCAUCUGUAGGAGGUGGGAACAGGACCCAGGCCAGUUGAUCAGAGAGCUCCCUUGCCCUGGGAUGAGCAUGUGACCCAGAUGUCUCAAUCAUGGGGAAGAUCCUCUUGCCUGUUAUAGCCACUAUGCUGGAAGAACAGGAUGUGGGCUUGCUGGCCGCCAUCUUCCAGUCCACGCUGGGAACCCAUCUGCAGGAGGAGGGAAGGAGGACAACCCAGUUUGAGGGAGCAUAUGGACAGCAGCUAUAGAAGGCUCCAUAUGUGCCCAGUGCUAGAUCCACCCCAUCCCUUCCUGUUCCAUAAAUCCAUACAUCUUCUCUCACUUUUGCUUACCCUAGUUUGAGUUACAUUUCUGACACCUGCCACCAUAAAAGCCCAAAUGAUUACAGAGAAUAUUUGGCUACAGGAAAGACCCUGCAGUCUGUGAAAAAAGAGGCUGCUGGUGCAUAGUCAUCGUAGACCAGUGCAAAGAGUGAAACAGAAACAUCCAGCUUAAUCUGCAAAAGCCUUUUUGGAUCCUUGAGAGGCGCUCAUUAACUUACAGCAAAUUGGUGAGCUGAUACUCUUCUUUCAUCCAGGUGAGUGCAUUAACUAGGUUAAUGUUCCUGUCUCAAGGGACUGCUGUAGGUUAGGGUGAAUGAAUGAAAGAAGCAAGUUUUUAAACAGGAAAAAGGCUGCAGGGAAGUUGAGGUGACAAGCAUCGUUUCACCCCCAAUGGAAGGUGAGCUUGUCUGUUAGGUCCCAGGGACUGAAUUGGAGUUCCGUGGUUAGGGAAUGACCCAUCUCAACAAGCAACUUCCAUCAUCCUUCCAUGGGGAUCUGAUUAAGGUCUUCUCCAGAAGGAGAUGGCCUCGUGAGUUGGGGCUUUUUAAUCUCCCUGUCCCUCCUCUAGAAGGGCAUUGCUACUGGCCUUGCCCUGCCAAGUCUUCAGUCUACAACAACACUGCCCGGCUUCAGACACAGCCCAGAUCCUUCCCAGAUCCUUCCCAGACACAGCCCAGAUCCUUCCCAGACAAAAAGUCCUUCCGACUUUUUGCCCUUUCGGCCCAGCCUUCCCUAUCACUUAUGCUGAAAUUGGGAACGUUUCCCAAACCAACAAUUUCCCAGUCCACAAUGUUCCCUUGCUGAGUGUCCCCACAGGAGAGACAGGCAGCCUGAUAAAUAAAACCAGUCAUAAAACCUCCCUGCCUUAGCAAAGGGACUGCUUUGCCAGGCUACCGUCACAUAGCACUCCUGUCUCCCGUUUGACUUCAUAUAGUGAAAAUUGUCUAAAAGAUAAGGCAGGAGCUCUGGUUGACACCCCCCCUGCCCCCGCCUCAUAGAUCUCUCUCUAGAAGCAUUGGAAGAGGCCGUCUCAAAAAAGAAAAAUAAAAUAGAAGCAUUGGAGGAAAGAUGUGGUUUGUAGUGAAACAAAUUGGAAGUCAAGCUCAGCCUCAACCACUUACUUGCUUCUGACCUUGGCAUGAAGUUGCAGAAGCUGACCUGGGUCCUAACUGUAAAAUGCAGAGGAACUCUAUCCAUGAGGAAGCUUUGUGAAGUCGAUUCAUUGCUAAUGUCCCUGUAGUGUCCACCACAGGAAACAUUACUAUUUGGGUUUUGUGACCCAGGAAUCCAUAUUUACCUGGCGGCAACGACACAGCCCUCACCUUUCCAGACCUCAUCUGGUGGCCUUGUAAUCCUGGAGCUGAAGCUGCCUACACACAAGCAAUCGGUCGCAGUGUAUCCGUGCAGGGUCCCAACCCACUCCAGGAUUCAUUUCGGGAUGGCUUCCCCUCCCUCAGCCAGGUCUCCGGCCCCGUUGCUCUGCAUGCUUGCCCAUCUCCAUCUCCACGGCGAUCAUGUGUUUGCAGGGAGCCAUCAAUAUCCUCUUCUCUUACGCUUUCUGAAUGGGAGAGUCAAUCUCAAUGGGAAGCUAGCAGGGACUUGGGUGGACAGGUGUCUCACGCUGGAUGGGCGAAUCCAGGUGGGAGGGAGGGUGGGCUUGCUGUCAUUUGUUGGUGGGUCAUGGGAUUUGCUAUGAAGCUGGAGGGAAAAUCUGGACCCCUGAAGAGGGGUCCCUUCCCUUCCUAAGGGAAGGCCUCAGCUCCAAGACUGCAGGAGGAGCUGGGUAGCCAUUGGAUAUGGCUAACGCACAUGAAUCAUGACCAGGGUGCACUGUUUGGACAGCAAGUCAGUGGCCCAAGGAGAGAGAGGUUAGUGAUGGGAAGCGUCCUGAGACUCACUGAUGCAUCUUUACAUUUUUCUCUUUAAGCAUUAGGAAGAGGCCGGGUGCCGUGGCUCACACCUGUAGUGCCAGCGCUUUGGAAGGCUAAGAUGGGCAGACUGCUUGAACUCAGGAGUUUGAGACCAGCCUGGGCAAUGUGUCAAGACCCCAUCUCUACAAGAAAUUUUAAAAUUAGCCAGGCAUUGUGGAAUCCUGCUUUGUGUAGUUCAGUGCCUGCUGCCAAGUCAGAGCUGUGACCUCAAUGAAAGUGGCCCAGCCACAGCAAACCUCAGUUUCCAUAACAGUCCUGGGAUCCAAUGUGGCUUUCACACUACAUGUCACUUCACUCUGUUAUCUCUGACAGAAAACCAACUCAAACUGGCUUAAGCAAAAAGGGUACUCACUGGGCCAUGUAACCAAAAAGUGUAGGCAUACAUGUGGCUUCAGGAAUGGCUGGAUCCAGGCACUCACAUGUGGCAUCGGGAGUCCCUCUCCUGGCUGUUGGUUUCAGUUUUCUCUGCAGGGGUUUCAUUCAAGCACUGGUUCCCUCCUCAUAGUGGCAAGGUGGCUGCCCAGGACAAGAGGCUUAUAGCCACGGGCUCAGCUACUUAAGGAUAAGUUCCAUCAGAAGCCCAAGUUGAGGCCGGGCUUGGUGCUCACACCUGUAAUCCCAGCACUUUGGGUGGCCGAGGUGGGUGGAUCACUUGAGGUCAGGAGUUCGAGACCAGCCUGGCCAACACAGUGAAACCCUGUCUCUACUUAAAAAAAAACAAAACAAAACAAAAAAAAAAACCAUGAAAAUUAGCUGGGUGUGGUGGCACGUGCCUGUAAUCCCAGCUACUUGCAAGGCUGAGGCAGGAGAAUCACUUGAACCUGGCAGGCGGAAGUUGCAGUGAGACGAGAUCACGUCAUUGUACUCCAGUCUGGGCAACAGAACGAGACUUCGUUGGCAAUGACUGGGUCAUCUGUCCAGUCCUGAACCGGUCACUGUGUCAGGUAGAAGCAUUGUUUGAUUGGCCAGGCCUGGGACACACGGCCAUCUCCAGACCUAGGAAUGGCAUCAUCUCUACCCAAACCCCGUGAACCAAGAGUUGGGGAGGAGCAAAGCUUCAGAGAAAACUCUGGGCCCUGUCAUCAAGCAGAGGAGGAAAGGAGGCCACACAGACUGAGACAUCAAGUACCCACUGUGCCCUCACCACCAGCUCCCGCCCUGGCCAGUGCACUCCUGGACCAUCUCUCCUCCCCGUCUUGUUCACAGUCACCCUCUCACCCCAGCAGAGAUCAGGCCAGGGUACUGGUGGCAAGUGAGUGAAGGGUUUCAGCAAGGGGGUCCCCACCUUCCAGGCACAGUGUAAGUGGACCCCCCACACUUGGGGGCUCUCCUGGGUUGCACAGUGUCCUCUGAAAAUUCACAUCCACCUGGAACCUGCAAAUAUGACCUUAUUUGGAAAUGGAGUCUUUGCAGAUGUUGUCAAGAUAAGAUGAAGUCAUACUGUUUUAGGAUGGGCCCUCUAUAUGGCACGACUGGGGUUCUUAUACGAAGAGGGACCCUGGCACACAGAUGCAUACAGGGAGAGUGCUGUGUGAUGAGAAAGGCAGAGAUUGCAGUGAUGCUGCCACCAGCCAAGGAGUCACCAUCAGCCAGGAGAUGGGCAUGGAUCUGAUUCUCCCUGGGAACCUCCAGAAGGAGCCAACCCUGCCAACACCUUGGUUUUGGACUUCUGUUCCCCGCAACUGUGAGACAAUACAUUCUGUGGUUUUAAGCUUUAUGAUAAUUUGUUACUGUAGCCCUGGGAAAGGAAUACAAGGGUAGACAGACACUGAUCAAGUAAGCAAACAAAUGUGAAAUUGCCCUGUGACAAGGGAGGUGCGGGGUGCCUGUGUUGGGGAAGAAUUCUCUGAGACUUGAAGUCAGAGAAGGAGUUAGCUAAUGGGGCCGACAGGGUUCUGCACACGCAGCUCACGGCCCAGAUCUUGUUGGCCAAGUGUUUUUGCAGGGAUUAGGAACUAAGAAUGGUUUUGCAAGAAGAACAUCACAGGCUGAGGGGACAGCAUGGGCAAAGGCCAUGAAGUGGGAGGCGCCCUCUGUGAAACCAACAAGCUUUCAGCCACGUGGGUCUCUCUGACGCGUUGCCUCAGCCACAGAGGGCUUUAAAAAGCCCCGAAACUGGACAGGUGUCACUGCCUGUGGCAGUAGCGGCCAUUUGGCGCCUGUGGUUUCAACUCCACCCGUUUCACAUGUCUAUGUUACCAGACUGGCCCCUGAAGGGGAUCUGUGUGCCAGGCCCUGACCUGCCGGGCUUUGGAAACAUCCUCGACAGUGUCCCCUGACCUGCGCCCCGCCUUGUGGAGUGAGGCCUGGUUGCCCAAGCUGGCUGGGCCGGGCUGUUUGUUGCUUCCAACAAACAUAGGAGAGAACGUAUGGCUGCUUUUUAUUGCCAGUGAGAGUUCCGCGAGGCCUGGCCCGAGAUGUGGCUGGCGUGAGGGGUCCCGGACCUGCUGUGCUGGGGACGCACCCAGUUCUGUGUCGCUUGGUCCAGUGAGGACUCGAGCCCCUUGGAGGCGGGGCCUCGGGCUGCAGGGGCGGGGCCCCGAGCCGCCUGGGGGUGGGGCCUCAGGCUCUUUGGGGGCGGGGCCUCAAGCUGUCUGGGGACGGAGCCUCCGGCCGGCUGGGGGCGGGGCCUCAUGCCUAAGGGGCGGGGCCUCGAGCUUUCUGGGGGUGGGGUCUCAAGCUUCAGGGUCGGGGCCUGGAGCCGCCUGGGGACGGGGCGAUCUGUUGGGGAGGAGGUUCUCGAACUGCUGAGGAGGAUCGCAGUGCUUUUGCUUCCUCUAGGAGACCAGCUGCACAGGCUGGAACAUGCCAUCUCUAUGCCUGUUUUCCCGUCGAUAAAUCCAGAGACAUUACUCUCAUCAUUUCUUCCUCUGUACACAAUAUUCAUAUAUGUAACCCCUUGGUAAAGCAGUUGUAAGAAUUAAACAAGAGGAAUUGCUCUUUCAUUCAGCAAAUAUUUUUUGAGCAGCUACUAGAUGCCAGGCACUGUUUUAGACGCAAGUGAUACUUCAGGAAACAUAAUCAGAC
rnacentral:lncRNA from 1 species